rnacentral:misc_RNA from 1 species
AGAAAAUGAAUAUUUGCAUAUCAAGAUCAAGCAUUGGAUUGGAUUAGAAAACUAGAUUUAGAGAGAGGAUGAAAGCUAUAACCAUCACAACCACUCAUCUAUGUCCCCAUCCUAAAAGAAAAAAUUAGCACACUAUCACAAACAAUCCAUGGUAUCAAAACCAAAUUUCUCUUAUACCCAUAAUUUAUGUUAUCAUUUCACAGAAACUAACUUAAAAAGAAGGAUGUCCAGCUAAUGAUACAUACAUGCAAAUAAAAGGGAUAAAGAUUUU